AACGAACGCUGGCGGCAGGCUUAACACAUGCAAGUCGAACGCAUCCUUCGGGGUGAGUGGCAGACGGGUGAGUAACGCGUGGGAACGUGCCCUUCAGUUCGGAAUAACCCAGGGAAACUUGGGCUAAUACCGGAUACGUGCGAGAGCAGAAAGAUUUAUCGCUGAAGGAUCGGCCCGCGUCUGAUUAGCUAGUUGGUGAGGUAAUGGCUCACCAAGGCGACGAUCAGUGGCUGGUCUGAGAGGAUGAUCAGCCACAUUGGGACUGAGACACGGGCCCAACUCCCACGGGAGGCAGCAGUGCGUGAUAUUGGACCAUGGGCGCAAGCCUGAUCCAGCCAUGCCGCGUGAUUGAUGAAGUCCUUAGGCUUGUAAAGCUCUUUCAGUGGGGGCGAUAAUGACGGUACCCGCAGAAGCAGCCCCGGCUAACUUCGUGCCAGCCGCCGCCGUAA
rnacentral:rRNA from 1 species